ACGCGUGGAGCAAUCCACGAGUGGCGCACGGGUGAGUAACGCGUGGGCGACCUACCUUCGAGUGGGGGAUAACCUUCCGAAAGGAGGGCUAAUACCGCAUGACAUCCCAGUUUUAGAUAGCUGGACAUCAAAGCCGGGGCUCGUAAGACCUGGCGCUUGGAGAGGGGCCCGCGUCCGAUUAGCUAGUUGGUGAGGUAACGGCUCACCAAGGCUCCGAUCGGUAUCCGGCCUGAGAGGGCGGACGGACACACUGGGACUGAGACACGGCCCAGACUCCUACGGGAGGCAGCAGUGGGGAAUUGUUCGCAAUGGGCGCAAGCCUGACGACGCAACGCCGCGUGGAGGAUGAAGACCUUCGGG
rnacentral:rRNA from 1 species